UGAGAAGGGAGGUGUGUGCUGAAGGAGUGUGUGUGUGCUCCUGCCAGCUUGCUGCGGGAGGAGGCCUGCAUAUACCACUGGGAGGGGGCAUUGUACGUGAAGGAGGUUUGUUUUUGAAGGAAAUGGAAAGAUCUUUCUGAUGGAGGAACGUGAGUGCUCAUGAAUCUGAUAGACACACGCCCUGCUGUGACAAAGAGGGAGCGAGAGAGAGACCUGCGUGCAUGGGAGCCAGAGGGACGGAGAGGAAGGGAGGACGGCUGUUGGCGUGCUCACAGUUUUGGAACAGCUGCAGUGGAACACAGAGUGUCUUGGUCUCUGAGAGCCAAUAUAUCUGGGUUACACCGAAAGAGGAAUAAUGAGGCAAUAUUUGCAUUGUACAUUGAAGAUGACCUGAAAAGCUUGAAGAGGUGACUGAGGGCAUUUUCUCCAUGUGGAUGAGGAAGAGGGGAGGAAGAUGGACGACAACAGAAUCUCUAAGAGCUUGGAUUUGACUCCAGCACAUGAACUGGAUUUUAUGAUUCUGUCCAAGGGCAUCAGUUUAACCUCAAGCUUCCACGUCCUUCUCUGUUUCCCAGACUUAGUUCUUUCUUUCUUAGUUUUGUUGUUAUUCUUUUGACUAUGAUGCAAACAUGGUCGUGGGCCACAGUGUGUAGCCCAGGGAAUUUUUAAUCGAGGAAAUACCAUGAACUUAGAGUUUUGAUGGUACUGAAGGCAACAGACUGUUUCGUACAUGUUUGCUUGCACACCCAUAUGCACAGACCCUCCCUGCCCUGUGGUUCGGCAAAGCCACUCCAUUUAGCUGACCAACCUCAGGACCGUGAUGUCCUGCUAUGCUGCUGAUUUCCUCAAACUACAAUAUGAUUAAUCUCCCUAGCCUAUUUCCUCGUCUAUAAAAUGGGGUCUGGGGAACUCACUGAUCCCACUUGGUUGCUUUGACCUAAGAGGAUUGUAAUGAUACAGUGAUUGCUAGUUGGCACUGUGGAAAUACCAAGUGGUGUAUAAAUGCUGAUUGUUAUCAGCGGGUACAAUUUCCCCCAACACCUCUCCAGCUUAGUGCUGAGUGGAGCCUCCACCCACAGUGGAGGUUUCCACAGCACAGAGGCCUUGUCCCAGGCCAGGAGGAGCAGUGACCUAUGUGGCCUUCCAAGGCCCAGGUGCACCGAAACUCUUCUGACAUCCCACUCAUGACAAAUUCAGCUCUCCUGUUCAUACUCCUCAAGUCUGGCUUUCCUCGGUUUAAAACCAAAGACAUUGCUCCCUGCCCUGCUUACCUCUCAGGACUGUUAUGAGGGUCACACUAGGUAGGUAAUGCUUGUGAAAGGACUUUCAGAACCAUAGAGCAGGGGCUGGCCUGGCGGCGCAGCAGUGAAGUUUGCACGUUCCACUUCGGUGGCCCGGGGUUCACCGGUUCGGAUCCCAGAUGCGGA